CUUGGGCUCAAGUGAUCUUCCUACUUUAAUCUCCUGAGGUUCUGGGAUUACAGGUGUGAACCAUCCCAACUUGUCGAUUAUUCUCAAUCUCUCUCAUAACCGCUGAUUUAGGAAGGGACCUUGAGUGCUUAUCUCACCAAUAUCUAGACCUGAAUCUACUGUAGUAGACAGUAGAGCAGUAGUCAGAAGUCUGGGAUCUACUUAGAAUUCUGUGCUUUACACACAGGACCAACAUGGCCAGGUCACUGUGUCUCUCAGAGACUCAGCUUCUCUGUUUGUGAAAGAACAUGUCUGCCUUGAGCAAAGUGGCUGUCAGAACUAGAUGCUCAUGACUGUGCUGACUUUGUGGGUUUACUCCCCCUCUUUUCUCUUUUGCUUAUAGUUUUCUGGUUGCAUUUCUCAACAGCAGAACAUGAUGCAAGAUUUUGUGAGGACAGCCACUUACCACAGAGCCAUCCUCCAGAAUCACAUUGACUUUAGAAACAAGAUUGUUCUAGAUGUUGGUGUGGAUCAGGAAUCCUGUCAUUUUUUGCCAUACAGGCUGGAGCUAGGAGAGUUUAUACAGUUGAAGCCAGUUCAGUAGCAUAGUAUGUUGAGGUGAGUGGUUGUAUUAUUUAAGGUAGAUACUAGGUAGGUCUUUAGUAUACUUCAGGGUACCCAGUGAUGGAGUCUUCCAAGUAGGUCAUUUAGAAUAAUCUGUUUUUAACCAGUAAUAUGGCUUGGCUGUGUCUCCACCCCAGUCUCAUAGUGAAUUGUAUUUCCCUUUAUUCCCAUGUGUCAUGGGAGGGACC
rnacentral:lncRNA from 13 species